rnacentral:rRNA from 1 species
UACAGAGGUCUCAAGCGUUGUUCGGAUUCAUUGGGCGUAAAGGGCACGUAGGCGGCUCGGCAAAUCGGUCGUGGAAUCUCGACGCUUACCGUCGAAACGGCGGCCGAAAAUACCGGGCUCGAGGGCGUGAGGGGUCACUGGAACUCCUGGUGAAGCGGUGAAAUGCGUAGAUAUCAGGAGGAACGCCGGAGGCGAAAGCGAGUGACUGGCGCGUUCCUGACGCUGAGGUGCGAAAGCUAGGGGAGCAAACAGG